GCCUUCUUGGCUCAGUUGGCAGAGCGUCCGCCUAGUAAGCGGAAGGUCGCCAGUUCGAUUCUGGCAGAAGGCA
rnacentral:tRNA from 1 species